GACAGAGGCCUCGAGCGUUAGGCGGAAUCACUGGGCUUAAAGCGUGUGUAGGCGGGCCCGUAAGUGUCUUGUGAAAUCCCACGGCUCAACCGUGGAACUGCUGGGCAUACUGCGGGUCUUGGGCCAACUAGGGGCAGCCGGAACAAGCGGUGGAGCGGUGAAAUGCGUAGAUAUCGAGAGGAACACCUGCGGCGAAGGCGGGUUGCUGGGCUGACACUGACGCUGAUGCGCGAAAGCUAGGGGAGCGAACGGG
rnacentral:rRNA from 1 species